UCCGUAGGGGGCAAGCGUUGUCCGGAUUUAUUGGGCGUAAAGAGCGUGUAGGCGGCCAGACAGGUCAGCUGUGAAAACUCGAGGCUCAACCUCGAGACGUCGGUUGAAACCGUCUGGCUAGAGUCCGGAAGAGGAGAGUGGAAUUCCCGGUGUAGCGGUGAAAUGCGCAGAUAUCGGGAAGAACACCCGUGGCGAAGGCGGCUCUCUGGGACGGUACUGACGCUGAGACGCGAAAGCGUGGGGAGCGAACAGG
rnacentral:rRNA from 1 species